CCAGGGAUAACUGGGCAUUUAGGAGCACGAAUUCGGUCAGGUUUGGAAGAAAGCAGCCGUAGUGACCACCAGAUGGGUUGGUUGUCCCGUCAAG
rnacentral:SRP_RNA from 1 species